rnacentral:lncRNA from 1 species
GAAGAACAUAGACUGUAUUGGAUAAAUAAAGAGGGUGAAAUGAAAUCAGCUAAAGACGAUGGCUCUGAUGUAUCAACAAUUCUUUCGACAAAUUUUCGUUCAAAUUACUAUGAUAUCGGUGUUUUCGAUAGUUACAUAUACUAUGUCAAUCAUUACAAUCAGUUGGUAAUGAUAAAUAAAGUACCAGGAUCCAGGCCAAGUGUUCUGUACAACAAUACCAAAAGAAUUUACAGCGUAUUUGUGCUUCAUU